rnacentral:rRNA from 1 species
GACGAACGCGGCGGCGUGCCUAAUACAUGCAAGUAGAACGCUGAAGGAGGAGCUUGCUCUUCUGGAUGAGUUGCGAACGGGUGAGUAACGCGUAGGUAACCUGCCUGGUAGCGGGGGAUAACUAUUGGAAACGAUAGCUAAUACCGCAUAACAGUAGAUGUUGCAUGACAUUUGCUUAAAAGGUGCAAUUGCAUCACUACCAGAUGGACCUGCGUUGUAUUAGCUAGUUGGUGGGGUAACGGCUCACCAAGGCGACGAUACAUAGCCGACCUGAGAGGGUGAUCGGCCACACUGGGACUGAGACACGGCCCAGACUCCUACGGGAGGCAGCAGUAGGGAAUCUUCGGCAAUGGACGGAAGUCUGACCGAGCAACGCCGCGUGAGUGAAGAAGGUUUUCGGAUCGUAAAAGCUUCUGUUGUAAAGAGAAAGAAACCGAGUGUGAGGAGUGGAAAA